rnacentral:rRNA from 1 species
GAUGAACGCUGGCGGCGUGCCUAAUACAUGCAAGUCGAGCGAACGGACGAGGAGCUUGCUCCUCUGACGUUAGCGGCGGACGGGUGAGUAACACGUGGAUAACCUACCUAUAAGACUGGGAUAACUUCGGGAAACCGGAGCUAAUACCGGAUAAUAUAUUGAACCGCAGGGUUCAAUAGUGAAAGACGGUUUUGCUGUCCCUUAUAGAUGGAUCCGCGCCGCAUUAGCUAGUUGGUAAGGUAACGGCUUACCAAGGCAACGAUGCGUAGCCGACCUGAGAGGGUGAUCGGCCACACUGGAACUGAGACACGGUCCAGACUCCUACGGGAGGCAGCAGUAGGGAAUCUUCCGCAAUGGGCGAAAGCUUGACGGAGCAACGCCGCGUGAGUGAUGAAGGUCUUCGGAUCGUAAAACUCUGUUAUUAGGGAAGAACAAAUGUGUAAGUAACUAUGCACGUCUUGACGGUACCUAAUCAGAAAGCCACGGCUAACUACGUG